rnacentral:rRNA from 1 species
AGAACGAACGCUGGCGGCAUGCCUAAUACAUGCAAGUCGAACGAACUCUUCGGAGUUAGUGGCGCACGGGUGCGUAACGCGUGGGAAUCUGCCCCUUGGUUCGGAAUAACAGUUGGAAACGACUGCUAAUACCGGAUGAUGACGAAAGUCCAAAGAUUUAUCGCCAAGGGAUGAGCCCGCGUAGGAUUAGCUAGUUGGUGAGGUAAAGGCUCACCAAGGCAACGAUCCUUAGCUGGUCUGAGAGGAUGAUCAGCCACACUGGGACUGAGACACGGCCCAGACUCCUACGGGAGGCAGCAGUAGGGAAUAUUGGACAAUGGGCGAAAGCCUGAUCCAGCAAUGCCGCGUGAGUGAUG